rnacentral:tRNA from 2 species
GGAGUUGUAGCUCAGUGGUAGAGUGCCUGCCUCACAUGUAUGAGACACUGGGUUCAAACCUCAGUACCA